rnacentral:sRNA from 1 species
AAACCACUUCUUCCCCGCUAACCCCGCCACGCGAGGCUGCGGCGCACGAUUGAAGAAUGUCACGGAUUCCACUGGGGAAGGUCCUCCUGAGGAAUGUCAUCCGGCACACAGAUGCUCACAAUAAGAUUCAGGAGGAAUCAGAUAUGUGGAAAAUAAGAGAACUGGAAAAACAGAUGGAAGAUGCUUACCGGGGGACCAAAAGGAAAAUGCUACCCAGCAGUUCAAGCCGGAUGCGCAGUGAUGGUUUUGAUGAAGAAAGUCAAAGAGACUAUUGGAGGCCAAAGAAUGAAAUUUCUGGGACACUGGAAGAUGAUUUUCUUAAGGCUAAAUCCUGGAAUAAAAAGUUCUAUGAUUAUGAAGCAAACAUGCCAGACAGGUUUGUGAUUAAUUCCUGUGAGCAUUAAUAUUUGGCCUGAGAACGUGUACUUAUCAAAAUUAAUUGUCCCCACAAAAAACUUGUGUACAAAAGUUCAUACCAGCAUUAUUAAUAAUGGCCCCAAAAAAUAAUGGCCAAGUAAUCCAAAUGUCUGUCAACUGAUGAAUGGGUAAACAAAAUGUGAUAUAUCCAUACAAUGGAAUAUUAUUUGGCAGUAAAAGAAAUGAAGUACAGAUACAUGUUACAACGUGGAUAAACCUUGAAAACAUCAUGCUAAGUGAGAAGGAAGAAGCCAAGUCACGAAAGACCGCAUAUUGUAUGAUUCUAUUUAUGUACUAUGUCCAUACAUAACUGUAUGAUUCCAUUUAUGUGGUAGGCAAUUCCAUAGAGACAGAAGGUAGAUUAGUGAUUGCCCUGGGCUGGAGGCACUACACUUUGAAUGCCAUGAUAUGUGAAUUAUACUUCAAUAAAGUUGUUAUUUAAAAAAAAUAGGCCAGGUGCUGUGGCUCAUGCCUGUAAUCCCAGUACUUUGGGAGGCCGAGGCAGGCGGAUCACGAGGUCAAGAGAUUGAGACCAUCCUAGCCAACAUGGUGAAACCCCAGCUCUACUAAAAAUACAAAAAUUAGCCGGGCGUGGUGGCAUGCGCCUGUAGUCCCAGCUACUCGGGAGGCUGAGGCAGAAGAAUCGCUUGAACCCAGGAGGUGGAGGUUGCAGUUGAGCCGAGAUUGCACCACUGCACUCCAGCCUGGCAACUGAGUGAGACUCUGUCUCAAGAAAAAAAGAAAAAAAUAAUAAUAAGGCUGGGCGCGGUGGCUCAUGCUUGUAAUCCCAGCACUUUGGGAGGCCAAAGCGGGCAGAUCAUGAGGUCAGGAGUUUGAGACCAGCCUGGCCAACAUAAUGAAACCCCAUCUCUACUAAAAAUACAAAAAUUAGCCAGGCAUGGUAGCAUGUGCCUGUAGUCCCAGCUACUCGGGAGGCUAAGGCAGGAGAAUCACUUGAAAUCGGGAGGCGGAGGUUGCAGUGAGCUGAGAUCAUGCCACUGCACUCCAGCCUGGGCAACAGAGUGAGACUCCAUCUCAAAAAAAAAAAAAAAAAAAAUUGUCCCCAUGUAGACAGCAUGAUAUUAUGAAGUGUUUUUGGAAAAGUGCUUCAUAGCUAAAGAGCAGAGUGUAAGAGUUCGUUAGUGUUUCUUAAGGAAAGCAAUGGCAAGUUCUCUUACAAAUGGACAAAAUAAUCUUGUAUGUCUGAAGUGAUAGUGUACAGUACAGGAAAUGUAGCUGUUACUGAGCUAUAAUGGGGGCUUGGUUCUACCAUAUCUCUAUUUUGUGUUUAUGUUUGUGUAUGCAUGUACUCCAAAGUCUUUCUAAUGUUGCUUUAAUUUCCAAAAAUGUAUGCAUUGCUUUAACAAUACAUGUGAUGUGUCAUAUUACAGAUGGGGUCACAGUGGUUAUAAAGAGUUAUACCCUGAAGAAUUUGAAACAGACAGGUAAGGAAAAUAGGCUUACUGAAAGAAACUAAGAUGGUACAAAAUCUGUAUUAUAAAUUGAUUUCCUAACUUUUACAAAGAAUAUACUUGCCAUCAAAAAUGUAGCUAGAGAAACAAUAGGUGAUUUAGUUAGGAGGUGAUCCCUGUUUUCCCAUUCUCUGGUUGAUGUUUGGCAUGUCUGUAAGCAUUUUGGUUUUUAUAUAUAGUAUUCCAUACAGUAACUCAGUAUGGCAGCUUAGAAUUUUUACCUUCAUUUUAAAGAUGAGGAAACAAAAACUCAAUGAGAAUAUUGAAGUGUUAAAGUAUACAUUAAAGUGCUUAUUUAAAAUUCAGAUGUUAACCUCAAUUUUUUAAUCUAGAAUGCAAAAUAUUAAAAUAAUACGCUUUUUUUU